CCUACGGGUGGCAGCAGUGGGGAAUAUUGGACAAUGGGGGCAACCCUGAUCCAGCCAUGCCGCGUGUGUGAAGAAGGCCCUCGGGUUGUAAAGCACUUUCAGUGAGGAAGAACGCCUGGUGGUUAAUACCCAUCAGGAAAGACAUCACUCACAGAAGAAGCACCGGCUAACUCCGUGCCAGCAGCCGCGGUAAUACGGAGGGUGCGAGCGUUAAUCGGAAUUACUGGGCGUAAAGCGCGCGUAGGUGGCUUGAUAAGCCGGUUGUGAAAGCCCCGGGCUCAACCUGGUAACGGCAUCCGGAACUGUCAAGCUAGAGUGCAGGAGAGGAAGGUAGAAUUCCCGGUGUAGCGGUGAAAUGCGUAGAGAUCGGGAGGAAUACCAGUGGCGAAGGCGGCCUUCUGGACUGACACUGACACUGAGGUGCGAAAGCGUGGGUAGCAAACAGGAUUAGAUACCCCGGUAGUC
rnacentral:rRNA from 1 species